rnacentral:rRNA from 1 species
GAUGAACGCUGGCGGCGUGCCUAAUACAUGCAAGUCGAGCGAACGGACGAGAAGCUUGCUUCUCUGAUGUUAGCGGCGGACGGGUGAGUAACACGUGGAUAACCUACCUAUAAGACUGGGAUAACUUCGGGAAACCGGAGCUAAUACCGGAUAAUAUUUUGAACCGCAUGGUUCAAAAGUGAAAGACGGUCUUGCUGUCACUUAUAGAUGGAUCCGCGCUGCAUUAGCUAGUUGGUAAGGUAACGGCUUACCAAGGCAACGAUGCAUAGCCAACCUGAGAGGGUGAUCGGCCACACUGGAACUGAGACACGGUCCAGACUCCUACGGGAGGCAGCAGUAGGGAAUCUUCCGCAAUGGGCGAAAGCCUGACGGAGCAACGCCGCGUGAGUGAUGAAGGUCUUCGGAUCGUAAAACUCUGUUAUUAGGGAAGAACAUAUGUGUAAGUAACUGUGCACAUCUUGACGGUACCUAAUCAGAAAGCCACGGCUAACUACGU